ACUGAAAAAAGGGGAAAAGUGGGGUUGUUCAAUUUACAAGUAUUAAACAUGUGUCUAAAACAUGAUCAAGUCAUGUUUACCUUCCAAACAUAUUCCAAUCUUGUAGAUCACACUUAAUUUCUGGCAAUAUGACAUUUACAUAUUUAAAUCAUCUUGAUAAAACAUGAAAUAAUCAUGUUUCGCUCUUUGCCCCUUAAUUUUAAAUAUGUAAACCCCGUCUGCCGAGGAGCAAGUUGCCCCUUAAUUUUAAUUACGUAAACCCCGUCUGCCGAGAAGCUAGUUGCCCCUUGAUUUUAAGUACGUAAACCCCGUCCGCCACGGAUCAUUCCAGAAAAGAUUUUUUGGAGUCAGCCAUUUUAUACAAGCAAUAAGCAGCUAUUCAUCGAAGUCACUUAUAAAAGGUUUCCUCUGACGGAUACGGCUACCUGUACUUCCCAGUGAGGAGCACUCAUGCAGACAGAUUUACAUUUAAGACUGUUGAGUUUCUUAUCACUGUCAGCAAGUGCAAAGGUUUGUUCAAAGGCUCUGUUGUACAGAAUGAAGACCAUCCAGGAGGCAAUCGAGGACACCAUGGAGGGAAUUUUCCACUAAAUGGCAUGUGGCAGUGGUGAGGAAAAGGACAUUCUUGUGAUCCUUGAAGUCCAGGCUGUGGUGGACAACCUACCAAGUGUCAGAGUGGCAGUUGCCAUGCUGUUUGGCCUUAUUUACAACCUUAAUAUGGAUCACCGUCCUCAUCUCAGAUACACCUUUGAGGUAAUCUGGAAAAUUGUAAUGGAGUUAGAGGGCAGAGUUAUGUCCAAAAGGGUGGAGAUCUUUGAGAUGCGACUCUUCAAAUAAAAUUAACACAGUUCACGGUUCACCAAGGAUGGAAUCCAGCUGCUUGCUUUGGCUAUUUCUCUUAUGUUCUGUUUAACAAAAAACGGCAAACCUCAUAAAUGUUGAUUUGUACUAUUUGCAUAGCUGUAAUCAUAUUUUUCAAGUUGAAAUAAAAAACAGGUUGAUACUUAAA